GUCAUCUCCUCGGGAACUGACGUGCGGGCCCCACAUUCCAGUUUCUCAGCCCACCAGCUCAGAACUCUCCUCUCUCUCUGGACGACGCGGCGGCGGCGGCCGAGCGGCGUCGCCGGAGUUGGAGAGGCUGGCCAUGGGAGUCCGCGGCGGUGGAAGCGCGCUGGGACGGGCUGGGGCCUCCAGCUCCAAGCGCACGAAGCAAGGAGGACGGGGUGGGGCCAAGCGCACGAAGCAAGGAGGGAGGCAGAGAGCGACCGAGCCCGGGGACGCACACCAGGUGUUCGACAGAUUGCUCAAGCGAGGCGACCGUGCCUCCAUCUUCGACCUCAACCGCGCCCUCUCCGACGUCGCGCGUGCCAGCCCCGCCGUCGCCAUCUCCCUCUUCAACCGCAUGCCCAGAGCCGGCGCCACCAGUGCGGCUCCCAAUAUCGCCACCUACGGCAUCGUCAUUGGCUGCUGCCGCCGCCUCGGCCGCUUGGACCUCGCUUUCGCCACCGUCGGCCGUGUCAUCACGACGGGGUUGAGGAUGAGCCCAAUCCUCUUCAGUCCUCUUCUCAAGGGCCUCUGUGACCGCAGGAGGACGAGCGAUGCGAUGGACAUUGUGCUGCGACGAAUGCCCGAGCUAGGUUGCAAGCCAGAUCUCUUCUCCUACACCAUUCUUCUCAAGGGUCUCUGUGAUGACAAGACAAGUCAACAAGCUCUCGACUUGCUCCAUAUCAUGGCUGAUCAUAAAGGGCGCUGCCCACUCGAUGUGGUGGCGUAUACCACUGUCAUCAAUGGCUUGCUUAGGGAGGGUCAGCUGGACAAAGCUUAUUCCCUGUUUGAUGCAAUGCUGGAUCGAGGGCCAUCACCAGAUGUUGUGACUUACAGCUCGAUUAUCAGUGCCCUAUCCAAGACUCAAGCAAUGGACAAGGCCACACAAGUCUUUACUAGGAUGGUUAAGAACGGUGUUAUGCCUGAUUGCAUCAUGUAUACUAGUCUUGUGCAUGGAUAUUGCUCUUCAGGAAAGCCCAAAGAGGCCAUUGGGAUUUUCAAAAAGAUGUGCAGACAUGGUGUUGAACCCGAUGUCGUUACUUAUACUGCGCUGAUGGACUAUCUAUGCAAGAAUGGGAAAAGCACAGAAGCUAGAAAGAUUUUUGAUUCUUUGGUCAAGAGGGGACACAAGCCUGAUAGCACUACCUAUGGUACUCUGCUUCAUGGCUAUGCUACUGAAGGAGCUCUUGUUGAGAUGCAUGAUCUUUUGGAUUUGAUGAUGAAGAAAGGUAUGCAACUUGGUCAUCAUAUCUUUAACAUGAUAAUGGGCGCAUAUGCUAAACAUAACAAGGUAGAUGAGGCCUUGCUUGUAUUUAGCAAUAUGAGGCAGCAAGGAUUGAACCCUGAUAUAGUCAACUAUGGAACAGUAUUAGACAUACUUUGUACAGCAGGCAGAGUGGAUGAUGCUUUGUCUCAAUUCAACAGCCUCAAAUCUGAAGGACUUGCUCCUAACAUUGUUGUUUUUACCACCCUAAUUCAUGGCCUGUGUACCUGUGACAAAUGGGACAAGGUUGAGGAGCUAGCUUUCGAAAUGAUCGAUCGCGGCAUCUGUCUUGACACAAUUUUCUUCAAUGCAAUAAUGGGCAACCUAUGCAAAAAAGGAAGGGUUAUAGAAGCCAAAAACUUGUUUGACUUGAUGGUGCGCAUAGGUAUUGAACCUAAUACUAAUACAUACAAUACACUCAUUGAUGGAUAUUGCUUAGAUGGUAAGAUGGAUGAAGCAAUGAAACUACUUGGAGUUAUGGUGUUCAAUGGGGUAAAACCUAGUGACGUUACCUAUAAUACCAUUAUUAAUGGUUACUCUCAAAAUGGUAGGAUAGAGGAUGGACUUACUCUUUUGAGAGAGAUGGAUGGCAAGGGUGUGAAUCCUGGCAUUGUUACAUAUGAGAUGCUGCUGCAAGGGUUAUUCCAGGCUGGAAGAACUGUAGCUGCAAAAGAACUCUAUCUCAGGAUGAUUAAGUGGGAUACGGUUUGAAUUUAGCACUUGCAACAUAAUCAGUCUGGUACUUUGCCAAAAUAGUUGCACCUCAGAUUCCCUCCAAUGGUUCAGAACCGUGUUUGAUGGAUUUACAGAUUGAGAAUAGAAAUGAUGACGCUGAGGAUUUGUUUGCUGCUCUCUCGACCAAUGGUUUAGUGACAAAUGUUGUGACCUACUGGUUAAUGAUAGAAAAUGUUGUAAAACAAGGGUUGCUAGAAGAAUUGGAUGAUUUAUUUCUUCAUAUGGAGAAGAGUGGCUGUACUAAGUUACUUCACAAAGAGCAGGUAUGCAAGGCUGGGGAUUACCUCUCCAUUCUCUAAAAUUAAUCAAGAGAACUUCCCCCUGAAGAGUCGUAGGCUGAGCUGCUGAUUGUGCUGGUUUCAUGUGGGAGACACGUUCAACAUAUAAAGUUUAUCCUGAAAAAUAUCGUCCUGUGUGAAAUCCCAGGCUCUUUGAUGAUACUGCCUGGCUGCCUGCUGUGGGGAUCGUUUUUUGUUUCUUAUGUGGGGAUUGUAGGUAUGAAGAGCACUCUUGUUACACUGUAUAUGAACUCCGGAGAAGUAAAAAUAACCCAAUUCCUAUUAUAGUUCUCUAA